rnacentral:rRNA from 1 species
UUCCGAAAGUAGUGGCGAGCGAAAUCGGAUGAGCCUUUACGUUUUAGCACGCAGGAUAGUCGAACGGAAUGGAAAGUCCGGCCGUAGCAGGUGAUAGCCCUGUAGACGAAAUUCUGUGUGUGGAACUAAGCGUAAGACAAGUAGGGCGGGACACGUGAAAUCCUGUUUGAAGAUGGGGGGACCAUCCUCCAAGGCUAAAUACUCGUGAUCGACCGAUAGUGAACCAGUACCGUGAGGGAAAGGCGAAAAGAACCCCGGAAGGGGAGUGAAAUAGAUCCUGAAACCGUAUGCAUACAAACAGUAGGAGCCUCCUUGUGGGGUGACUGCGUACCUUUUGUAUAAUGGGUCAGCGACUUACAUUCAGUGGCAAGGUUAACCGAAUAGGGAAGCCGUAGCGAAAGCGAGUCCGAAUAGGGCGAUUUAGUCGCUGGGUGUAGACCCGAAACCAGAUGAUCUAUCCAUGGCCAGGUUGAAGGCACGGUAACACGUGCUGGAGGACCGAACCCACUAAUGUUGAAAAAUUAGGGGAUGAGCUGUGGAUAGGGGUGAAAGGCUAAACAAAUCUGGAAAUAGCUGGUUCUCUCCGAAAACUAUUUAGGUAGUGCCUCAAGUAUUACUGCGGGGGGUAGAGCACUGUUAUAGCUAGGGGGUCAUGGCGACUUACCAAACUAUGGCAAACUCCGAAUACCCGCAAGUACAGCUUGGGAGACAGAGCACCGGGUGCUAACGUCCGGACUCAAGAGGGAAACAACCCAGACCGCCAGCUAAGGUCCCGAAUUAUCGCUAAGUGGGAAACGAAGUGGGAAGGCAUAGACAGUCAGGAGGUUGGCUUAGAAGCAGCCAUCCUUUAAAGAAAGCGUAAUAGCUCACUGAUCGAGUCGUCCCUGCGCGGAAGAUGUAACGGGGCUUAAGCGAUAAAC